GUCGUGAGAUGUUGGGUUAAGUCCCGCAACGAGCGCAACCCCCGCUCCCAGUUGCCAGCGCGUUAUGGCGGGGACUCUGGGAGGACUGCCGGUGCCAAACCGGAGGAAGGUGGGGACGACGUCAAGUCAUCAUGGUCCUUACGUCUAGGGCUACACACGUGCUACAAUGGCCGGUACAGCGGGUCGCGAGCUCGCGAGAGUAAGCCAAUCCCAUAAAGCCGGCCUCAGUGCGGAUUGGAGGCUGCAACUCGCCUCCAUGAAGCCGGAAUCGCUAGUAAUCGUGGAUCAGCUACGCCACGGUGAAUACGUUCCCGGGCCUUGUACACACCGCCCGUCACGCCAUGGAAGCUGUGAGCGCCCGAAGUCCGUGCAGGAACCCGCAAGGGGCCAAGCGGCCGAAGGCGAGCGCAGUGACUGGGGCGAAGUCGUAACAAGGUAGCCGUAGGGGAACCUGCGGCUGGAUCACCUCCUUAACGGAUACACGAGUAGACGUCACGGAAGCGCAAGCGGCCGUUGGGGUUGAAAGUAUUCCUGUAGUCGCUUCGCCUCGAACAUCCCGUCCUGAAUUUGAUUGUUGACACCGUUCUCCUUCGGGGGGAGUGUGUGUCAAUGCUUUUUGACAACGGAAGUAAUGGAAGGUAGAUCGUGGGAUUUAAUGGAAUCGAUCAUCGAGUUCUGUUAUGGAACUCGAGUACUAGCUGAAAGCGGGGACUGAGACGCGAGUCGAGGUUCUCGUUGUAGGAGUAGUACAGAUUAAGAUGUUUGCGUGCUCGGUUGAGAUAUGGGGUUUGGAGGGAGCGAUCCUGAAGAGCUUUGUAGUCAAGCGAGUGAUGGCAUGUGGGGGAUGCCUGGGUACACAGAGGCGAUGAAGGCCGUGGUAAGCUGCGAGAAGCCAAGGGGAGCGGCACACACGCAUUGAUCCUUGGAUGG
rnacentral:sRNA from 1 species